rnacentral:rRNA from 1 species
CCUACGGGAGACAGCAGUGAGGAAUAUUGGUCAAUGGGCGAGAGCCUGAACCAGCCAAGUCGCGUGAAGGAUGAAGGAUCUAUGGUUUGUAAACUUCUUUUAUAAAGGAAUAAAACGAGGCACGUGUGCCUUUUUGCAUGUACUUUAUGAAUAAGGAUCGGCUAACUCCGUGCCAGCAGCCGCGGUAAUACGGAGGAUCCGAGCGUUAUCCGGAUUUAUUGGGUUUAAAGGGAGCGUAGAUGGGUUGUUAAGUCAGUUGUGAAAGUUUGCGGCUCAACCGUAAAAUUGCAAUUGAUACUGGCAGUCUUGAGUACAGUUGAGGUAGGCGGAAUUCGUGGUGUAGCGGUGAAAUGCUUAGAUAUCACGAAGAACCCCGAUUGCGAAGGCAGCUUACUAAACUGUGACUGACAUUGAUGCUCGAAAGUGUGGGUAUCAAACAGGAUUAGAUACCCCUGUAGUC